UUGAGACACCGGUUCCCGUACGAUUACCGAAGUUAAGCAAUGUCGAAUCUGGUCAAUACCUAGAUGGGUGACGGUAUGGGAAUACCAGGUGCUGUAA